rnacentral:lncRNA from 1 species
GCUCUGUUGUGUGGCUCAAACGACCUGAGGAAAAAACUGUAACGACGCAAAGAAGACGGGGACGAAGCGAACACACGAAGACAGACACGGGC